rnacentral:tRNA from 1 species
AGGAUGGCAGAUUUAUGCGUUGGAUUUAAGCUCCAAAGAUGAUAUUUUAUCUCUU